GCGUCAUAAGUGUUUUACCUAGGCGCACUAAACUUUUAUUUUGAAACAUCUUUCUCGACGUCACGGGGGAAAGGUGUGGCCCGGAUGUUAAACACGCCCACCACAAAUUGGUAACCAAUCACAGACUAUUUUAUUCUGGCCAAUGAGUCGAUUGAGGCUUUCGCGCCGUGCGUUUUUUUUUUUUAGACGGAUCGAUAAAGAAUUUAUACCUGUGCUUUUCUCAUACGUUAACAAUGCCGUAUGCUAACCAGCCAAUCACAGAAUUAACGGAUGAGAAUGUUAAAUUUGUCAUAGAGAACACGGAUCUGUCGUUCUAUUACAAUGUGGAGACGUGUGGCUCACUGCGACCUGAGACCAUCGUCAUGUCUGCUUUGGCAGUGCUGAAAAAGAAACUGAGUGAUUUACAGACCCAGCUGAGCCACGAAAUCCAGAGUGACGUCCUCACUAUCAACUGAGACCUGCCGUUUUAGCCAGUCCUACAACAUUGAGACUUGGAGAGCAGAUCCAGUUGCAAAUCAAACUUUUUGGAUGACAAAAAACCUGAUGUAAGCAGGAAAAAAGUUUAUUCAAGAGCUCGCCAACUGAAAUCAGCAGUUUUUAUAUCGUCCACCACAUUUUUUCCUUUCUCUUCGUUCUCUGUUAAUAUUUGUCCUUUUUGUUGAAGUUGUUUACUGGAAUAUGUUUUGAAUUGUUUAUUUUGUCUACCGAAAGAAUAAACUCAAAUUUUCAUCCAGA